rnacentral:lncRNA from 1 species
AAAGAAGGACUACUUUAAGUAUGUAAAUGAACAGCUAGAGAUGGCUACUUUCGCAACACGGUAAUCCUUCCAGCUCCAUAACCCCAUCAUCCAGCUGUUGAUACAACAAGAACUCUGGUUUACCUUGUAGGUAUCGGUUUUGUAUCAGAACAGCUACAUUUAUUCCUUACUUCUUUUUUUUUGAGAGAUUAUAGUUUGGUUUUUUUUCAAAUUUAGGCAUCUACUAUUUAAUGAACACGUAUGCAAGACACAAGAGAAGUGUAUACAUAUCUUAGCUUAAAAGGCAUCUUUUUCCUCUCUGUUUCAUACAGCCAGCGCUCUGCUCUUUUUGCAAUUCUUCUUUCUCCUGCCCCAUGUUACAUUUUCAGCUACAGUCCAUUACUCCGCUGUGCAGACUUCAAACACUGAUGUGUAGUGCAGCACUGAGGAGUUUCCUGAGUCAGGUUUAUUCGUCAUUAUCUUCCUGGUAGGCUCCAUCCGCCAUGACCAGGUGAAGUACUUUGGCAUAUAAGUGUUUGUGUUCAUUUCCCAGAAUAGUCUGAACUAUGCUUGAACAAAUAUCAAUAUUUUCAUCUUCAUCUUCAUGUAUGGCCUUUAUUUUAUUAUAAACUUCAAUUAAUUUCUCAAAGCCUAUUUCCUGUUCCAGGUUGUAUCUCAGCUCUUCCAAAUGGCUGAAGACACUAUCACAUUCUUCACAUUCACUGGCAAUAUCUCCAUCACUAUUAUCUGACUGCCAUUCUUCAUUAAGUGCACUUUCACUGCUGGGGUUAUUUUCAUCUGCUUCAUCCAGCUCUGUACCAUUUGUCAUGCAUUUGAUGACGUUAGCCUUUAAAGUAGAUUCCUCCUCUUCACUUAAUUCCUCACUAGGCUGCUCCCUAAGUAAUUGUUCCAUUGAGGCCCGGAGUUCCUGCAAAUCUGUAUCGGCGUCCCCAAACAUGAUAUCCUCAGAAUCAGAGGGUCCUUCUUUGGCUUGCUCAUCU